GUUUUUAUUUACCUCGCACUUGUUCUAGUUACGUGCAAAUAUCAUAUGACUACUCUUUCUACGAAGAUGGAAUUACAAAUUCUGGAAUCCCGAUUUGAUUUUACGCUUCUUCUUCUUUUUCCUCUGCAUCUAUCUUCCUCUUCCAUGCUCUCCUCUCGGGAGUUCACUCAAAUAAUACAUGACAGUAAAAUCUUCAAUUUUGUUUGGAGAAGCCUUGCUUGAUCCUCUAAGAUCAUAAGGCAAUAUUAUGAAAUGCCUUUCAAUCAAAUGGCUCACAGAGACCACUUCAUAUGAAUCGUACAAGAGGUUGACAAAAUCCCAUAUCUUGCUUUCUUCAGAUUCUUCCAUUCCCUUCAU
rnacentral:lncRNA from 1 species